CGGACGGGUGAGUAACGCGUGAGUAACCUGCCUUACACAAGGGGAUAGCCGUUGGAAACGACGAAUAAUACCCUAUGAAACUAUCACUUCGCAUGAAGCGAUAGUCAAAGUGUUAGCGGUGUAAGAUGGACUUGCGUCUGAUUAGCUAGUUGGUGAGAAAAAGCCCACCAAGGCAACGAUCAGUAGCCGGCUUGAGAGAGUGUACGGCCACAUUGGGACUGAGACACGGCCCAG
rnacentral:rRNA from 1 species